CCUCACCAGCUGGGCACGCUGGGUGGUUGGAGCUACUACCCGGCACGUGGACAGGGCCACAGAUCCCAUCUUUAGGAAUGGCCUGCUGGUGUGGGUGGAGCAACUGGCCAAUUCCAUCCUGGAGCUGAGGGCAGUGCCAGCCCACUGCCUCCAAUCCCGGGAUGCCUUUUCCCAGGCAGCCAGCUGCCUAAUGGACGCUGCUCUCCGUGUCCAAGCUGGGCUGGAUGGGUCCAACCACCCGGAUAUCCUCAGCCCGCUCCGGGAGCGAGUGUGGAGCACCGAGGUGGCAAAGGGGCCAGAGCUCAGCCCGUCCCACGCUGGGAUACAAACCAGUAUGGAUGAGGCCACAUUCCACGGUGACAUCCCAAGUCCUCCAUCUUCGCCAGCAGGCACCUUCCACCCGGAUGUUCCGUGGGAAGGGAGUGCACACCCUGCCAUCACGGCUCUCCUGGCAGCAUCCCGAGCCCGGGACACGGCCGCUGUCGGUGCCGCUGGCUCUGCCUUGCUGGAGCUCUCUGAGGGCUGUGUGGAUGCAGCACGGGAAGCACUGCCCAUGGCCGAGCCCCCCCAGCUCCUGGUGCUGGGACAGCACCGGGACAUCACGGCACUGACCCCCAGGAUUAUCAGCCUGGCCAUGGAAACGGCCCACAGCCAGCUCCGUGCGCCAGGCAGGCUGAUCCACAUGGCACUCAGGCUCUCGGGAAAGAUCCGGGACACCCAGCAGUGCCUGGCAGCCGUGGCAGGCUCUUGGAAUAGUCUGUCCCAGCAAGUGCUUGGGUUUAUCUCGUCAGGUGACUUUCCAAAAGGGAAGCAGGCUUUGGAUGAGGCCAUGCUGGCUUUAGCAGGAGCAGUGCAGUUGGCAGGAGACAUUGCAAGCACAGCCUGUAGUAAGGAAAACCCCAUUCCCUCCCAAGCUUGGGAUAACUUUUUGCAGGUCCAAGCCAAGUUUUCCCAUGCUCAGCUGAACACCAAAGUGUUCCUGGGGAAGGCAGAAUCCUUCAGGGGCUCCUGUGGGAUGGAAAAGGCCAUGCUGGAGCUGCACGGUGUCCGGUGGGCCGUAGGCAUGUGUGUCCUGCUGCAUGCCAUGGAUCGCUUAGUGGGAAGGGAUGUGCUGUUCCUGAGGGAGCUGAGCAGGGCUGUGAGGAACAAGGUUGGCUCACGGAGCCUCCUGGCUGCCGUGGCCGAGAAUUCCCUGAGGCUGCAGGAGGCCGCCCGGCUCUCUUACCUGUCCUGUCCCAGAGACUGUGGUGCCAGGGAAAUCCUGGCGCUCCGGGGGGAGAUCCAGGUGCUCAUGGAAGCACUGCUGGAUGUCUCCAACACCCUCCUGGUCUCCCCACUGCCUUCAGCCAGCCUGUCCAUCCGCUUCGAGCUCCUGUGGAGAGAUGUGGCCCUCAGGGCCAGGGCGUUACUGCUCCGCCUGGAGAGGGCCAACACGGAGCAGCUGCACAUCAUCCAGGACGUGGUUGGAGCAGCCCUGCCCGGCCUCUCCCACGAGGAGAGGGACAGGAGCAAGGAGGCCUUUGAGGAGAAGGCGAGUCGGCUCAUGGCUGAUGUCCAGUGGGUCAGGAACACCCUCCGGGACGCUCUGGAGGCCGAAGCUCAACUGCCACCGCGGGACAACCCGCUCUCCACGGCGGAGCACCUCCUGCUCCUCACGGCCCACGCCGUGGGCAGCGCCCGACGGAGCCUCCGGAGCCACCGGGACAUGGGGGAUGCCCACCUGGACACCUGGGAUCCCCAGGACACAGGGGAUGCUCACCUGGACAGUGUGGUGUUGUACUGGUCAGCCCAGGCCCGCUACCUCCUCACACAGCUCCGGGCCACCCAUGGCAUCAGCACAGACAUCCUGCGGCGCAUCACGGAACGCCUGCAGCGGGACCAGGCAUUCCCAGGACAAUCCCAGCUCUGCCCAGCCCCACAGCCCACUGAGGCAGCGGGAAGUCGCCCGCUCGGGAGCAGAGCAGGGAGUGGAACUCCACAGGAAGCAGGUGAAAUGGUACAGUAGCUCUUUUCCCUAUCAGCUUUUCCUGCAGGGUGAUGGUCUAUCACUCCUGGUGCUCCCAGCAUGGAGUGGGAAUGUGAGGGAUGCUGGCAGGGCCUCUGGAGGUCAGCACUCUGACCCUGGGC
ensembl:lncRNA